CUCUGACGUGUACCUUUUUUUUAAAGAAAAAACUCUCCCACGCACACUUUCUCUCUCUCAGACACUUACUCUCUCCUCUCUCUCUCAGGUAGCCCUCUCCGCGAUGGCCGCGAGCGGGGGCGGGCCAGCGCUGUGCGAGCCAGCGCGGGGGGGCGAGCGGGCGUGGGUGGGCGGGCACGAGCCAACGCGCGAACUGGCGCGGACACAAGCCGGCGCCGAGUGGGGUUUUUCCUCUUUUUUUUUCCCUCUUUUUUUCCUGUAAGAUCCACUCCUCUCUCUCUCUCUUUUUCCUCUUUUUUUCCCUUUUUAAACUUUGAAUCAGGAUUCUAAGGUGGUACGGCAGGGCCCUCCGCGAUCAGCGCGAGCGGGAGCGGGGGCGGGCGAGCCGACGCAGGCGGGCGCGGGCGCGGGCGCGGGCAGGUGAGCAGGCGAGCGUCCGCGGGCGCGGGUAAGCGCGAGUGGGCCCGGGCGUGCGGGCGUGAGCCAGGGCGUGUGGGCGCGAGCCAGGGCGGCGCGCUGCCGCGAGCCGGGGCGGAUGCGACCCAUCUUUGGAAAAAAAAAAGAAAAAAACAUAGAGGAAACAGAAGUCAAUGUGCCCAUACCUUAGCCCAUGCUUCUGCUCUGAUGCUGACCCCACAUCAACGGGUUUGGAUCCGGCCAUACUAUCGUACAUCCUCCCCAUCCUCCCCAAUCCUUUUCCUGUGCUCGCUCUCACCCUUUUCCCCUCUUUAGUCAUUUUCUCCGUCCUCUUUGCUAUUCACCUAAGCCAACUUCCCCCGUAAUCCCCUCCUCUCCGUCCUCGGCGUCUUCCUCGCUACCCCUCUUCUCGCCUUAUUUGCCGCAUGGCACCACCUCCGCCACCGACCUCCUUUGGUAGCACCUUUGUGCAGGUAGACUAAUGAAGCGUCGUUGACGUUGACUGCCCCCUCAGCUAUGCCUUUCUACGUGCUCGACAAGAAUGGCAUCGUCACUAUCACCGACGGGGCGCUCCAAAAUGCCGCUCGGCUCCUCAACAUGGACAGCAUCGGAAUGGCUAUGCCUCAAAGAAAACCAUGGAGUUCUUCUUUCCUUGGUUUUUUUUUCUCAUUUCUUUUCUAUGGAAGGGAACAAAAAAAAAUUGUUAUUGUGCUUCUAACAUCAAUUUCUUUACUGCAGCUCCAGAAUAUAUUGUCGGAACCCGUGGCUAUGCGGCUCCAGAAUAUAUUGCUACAGGCCACUUAUCCGUGAAGAGCGACAUAUACAGCUUUAGUGUAGUGCUAUUAGAACUGUUAUCUGGAAGGCGAGCACUGGAUGAAGAUCGGGGAUCCCUAAGCGGGUACGGUAGAGCUCUCCGCAAUCGGCGCCGCUGCGCUCUCCGCAUUCGACGGGUCCCAUCGUUGACUGUGAGUGAAGAGGGAUUGCGGGGCUCACCGGUGUUCCUGCACGCGGUCCAUGGGAGCGGGUGUAUCUUAGUGGAUUGGCAGAGGGAGAUGGUAGUUUGAAUAUUAACUGGUUUUAUUUCCUUCUGCUUCAGUCAUAAGGGAGCUUGACUGCAUGAAGCGGCAUGAAAACUUCUUUAGAAGGCCAUCUUCAAAGGCUUCUUCAGCACUACAAUGGAUUGAAGAAUGUAUGGAAAAUACAAGUUGGUGGCUUUAUGUCCAAGCUCUCUAGAGACUAAACCAGUGGCACCAACUCCUCCUAUAACACCAACUUUGCAAUUCAUUGAUGGAAAUAAUGAACUCGGGGCUAAGAUCUUUAGCUCCAUGUCUUUCUCAAGAUAUGGAAAUUUCAUGGAUAUUGUUUCUCCAACAGCUAAGGAUCACAUUCUAGAUUAUGCUCUCCUAUUCAAGGAAAUUAGGAAAGAUGGACAACUUAUCAUUCUUUCUAGCAGCACGACUCUCAAAAUCAAAGCCAUGGCAGAGGGGCAACGCCCGCUUCCGCAUCUCCUCUCAAAUGCCAUCCUCUUUCACUGCCUCAUCGGACGUCCAAUUUGAGUCCUUCAUCAUCAGCAUCAUAAGCUCCCUCCCUACAUCACUCUCCCUCUGAUCUAUUCUUUUUGAUUGGAUCCUUCUUAUCUGUGAUUCAUUUUGAUCGCGAUGUUGGGGUUGUUUACCAUGCACGCAAACUGUUCGAUGUAUUGUCGCUUGCAAUUUUAAAGUCUUUCAGGAGCAAAAAGUUGAAAAAGCACACAAGCUCUCUAUUAUAAUAGGCGAUCUUGAGUUGCAACUGAGUAAAGAGCAAGAGUACUUUGAAAUUGAAAAAGUUUAAUUAUUAAAGUCAUAGGCAUAAAGCACAACAGAAGCUAAAAAGGUCACAAGCCCGUCUUCAAAAGUUAGCUGAAAUGUUUUAUUCUGAAGCCAUAAAACCUGCAAAUGAAGAAUAUUCGAGUGCAAAUGUUCAUUAUCACGGUGGAUCAAAUGGUGAUUAUCAAAUAAAACCAAACAAUGACCGGUUGCAGAAUCUUUUUCUUUUUUUUUGCAAGAAAAGAUCUUUGGCCUUUUCUAUCACAAAUGAAGAGGAAAAAGCAGGUAUCGUUCUGUUGAGAUCUCCGGCGAUCGCCGUUGGAGGGAUUUCCGGUGAUCAGGUUGGGGCUCCGCUCCGCAAUCAAGGUAGUCAAGCUUUACAUCGUUGGGGCUCAGCUGCAUCCAUUUCAUCACCUCCUCUCUUGACCACGUCUUCUACCCCGACCUCGUCAUCAAUUUCUUCAAUAUCUCCCCAUCUAUCUGAGGAAGCUUACUAACUUGAGCCUGUUACAGGAGAAGCUAGGGAUCGUGGCAAGGGAGUCGCGUCUAGCUAGUCAUAGCUUGGACCGUGCUAGUUGAUUACCUUGCUACUCGGGCUACGGCCGAGGGUGAUGUCCCUGUGUUUAGAGAGACUACCACUGUACCUAUGUUUUGAGUAGCCCUGUGAUGUAUAUGAGUAUGUGGAACCAGAGAUUAUAGUUUUCUUACUUCUCUUUGA